rnacentral:lncRNA from 1 species
AAUUUGAUCUUUGUCUCACACCUUCACACUUCAACACUGGAAUGAAGUCUUUGUACUAUCUAAACUGAAUGGUAGGACCGAAAGAAACAAAGUCAGAGGCUCAGGAGGCCAAUUCACAAAUGCCUCAUAUUAAAGACCUGUUUGCCUGCAUCAUAUAUGGAAUCCUAACUUUGAUGAGAACCUGUCUAUAACAGCACCUCCUGAAAUAAGAUUCAACUGUUUAACAAAAUAGACCCAUUUUCAGUACUAAGAGAAUGAUUCAAGAAGACAUAA